rnacentral:snRNA from 1 species
UGGUGCCAAGAGGGAAAAGGG